GAAGGACGCGGCGAACAAGUUUGAUUAUUGCAAGGGGGAGCGGGGGUCUCCAUGACCCCAGUCCCCCGAUGUAGGCGAGAGGGGUGGGGUGGGACUUUGCCCCUUCAUCUCUGCCGUCGGCCGUACAACCAACCCCGGCGCAGGACGCGCCAAGGAAAAUUAAAUGAAAAGAGCACGCUGCUGUAGGCCUCGGAAACGAUGCGCUUUAGGCACGCGUCGCCCUCUUUCGAGAACCAUAACGACUCUCGGCAACGGAUAUCUCGGCUCUCGCAUCGAUGAAGAACGCAGCAAAAUGCGAUACUUGGUGUGAAUUGCAGAAUCCCGUGAAUCAUCGAGUUUUUGAACGCAAGUUGCGCCCGAAGCCUUUCGGCCGAGGGCACGCCUGCCUGGGUGUCACGCAAUUGUCGCCCCCAACCCUUUCGAUACAUCGAGAGGGGGGCGGAUUAUGGCCUCCCGUGCGCCUCGUGCAUGCGGUUGGCCUAAAAAUUGAGUCCCCGGCGACUAUCGCCACGGCAAUCUUUGGUAUGGGGAUGUCGAACAUACCAUGCGCGGUAAUGUUCCUUGAGGGAGCCCUUUAAGGGGUCAUGGCAACAGAUAUGGUAAAAA
rnacentral:rRNA from 1 species